rnacentral:tRNA from 1 species
GUUUUAAUAGUUUAUAUUUAAAAUAAUGAUCUUGUAAAUCAUAGAAAAGAAAUCUUUUAAAACU